GCGAGGGUAGCGAAGUGGUCAAACGCGCAGGACUUAAGAUCCUGUGGCUUAGUGCCUUCGGGGGUUCGAAUCCUCCCCCUCGCA
rnacentral:tRNA from 1 species